AAACAUAGUUUGUUGUUUUUUAUAAUAAAUAUUUCCUGCCCGGUGUACAUCGUAUAAACGGCCGCGGUACUUUGACCGUGCAAAGGUAGCAUAAUCACUUGUUCUUUAAUUGGGGACUGGAAUGAAAGGAAGUUUGAGGGCUAGACUGUCUCUUUUUUAGGUUAUAAUUUGCUGUUUUUGUGAAGAAGCAAAAUUUAUAGAAAAAGACAAGAAGACCCUAUUAAGCUUUAUUCUCUUUUUUAUCUUUUUUUAUUUAUAUAGCUUAGUUGAAAAAAAGAAUUUGGUUGGGGUGACUGAAGAAGAAAAAAUCUUCUUUUCUUUUUUUAACUUUACGUUUAAUAAUGAGCCGGUAUCUACUGGUUAAAAAAACAAGUUACUAUAGGGAUAACAGCGUAAUCUUUUCAUAGAGUUCUUAUUGAAGAAAAGGAUUGCGACCUCGAUGUUGACUUGCCAUUUCCUGUUUAGGUGUAGCAGCUAUAAGGGUUGGUCUGUUCGACCAUUAAAAUGGCACGUGAGUUGAGUUCAGACCGGUGUGA
rnacentral:rRNA from 1 species